AUUGUCUUAUCGCUCCGGUCGCAUAAGCGAACCGGGGAGGAAAGUCCGGACAGCAUAGAGUACCAUACUUCCUAACGGGAAGGCAGCGAGUGGGAAACGCCCGGCGUCGUACGACUCGUUGACAGAAAGUGCCACAGAAAAAAUACCGCCGUUGAGGGUUGAAAAACCGUCGCGGUAAGGGUGAAAAGGUAGGGUAAGAGCCUACCGCCCGGCUGGUGACAGACGGGGCAGGGUAAACCUUAUGGGCUGAAAGAUCAAAUAGGCAUCGGAAUGGGGGCUACUCGUUCCUGUAGUUCGGGCGAAAGCCGGAAUGACGCCGAUGCGGGUAGAUCGAUAGAGUUUCGGAGUGAUCCGGAAUCGAGAUAAAUGAUAAGAACCCGGGAGGGCGGCCCCGGCCGUCGGAU
rnacentral:RNase_P_RNA from 1 species